rnacentral:rRNA from 1 species
GAUGAACGCUGGCGGCGUGCCUAAUACAUGCAAGUCGAGCGAACAGACGAGGAGCUUGCUCCUCUGACGUUAGCGGCGGACGGGUGAGUAACACGUGGAUAACCUACCUAUAAGACUGGGAUAACUUCGGGAAACCGGAGCUAAUACCGGAUAAUAUAUUGAACCGCAUGGUUCAAUAGUGAAAGACGGUUUUGCUGUCACUUAUAGAUGGAUCCGCGCCGCAUUAGCUAGUUGGUAAGGUAACGGCUUACCAAGGCAACGAUGCGUAGCCGACCUGAGAGGGUGAUCGGCCACACUGGAACUGAGACACGGUCCAGACUCCUACGGGAGGCAGCAGAAGGGAAUCUUCCACGAAGGGCGAAAGCCUGACGGAGCAACGCCGCGUGAGUGAUGAAGGUCUUCGGAUCGUAAAACUCUGUUAUUAGGGAAGAACAAAUGUGUAAGUAACUAUGCACGUCUUGACGGUACCUAAUCAGAAAGCCACGGCUAACUACGUG